CCUACGGGUGGCAGCAGUGAGGAAUAUUGGUCAAUGGGCGCGAGCCUGAACCAGCCAAGUAGCGUGAAGGAUGACUGCCCUACGGGUGGUAAACUUCUUUUAUAAAGGAAUAAAGUGAGGCACGUGAGCCUUUUUGUAUGUACUUUAUGAAUAAGGAUCGGCUAACUCCGUGCCAGCAGCCGCGGUAAUACGGCGGAUCCGAGCGUUAUCCGGAUUUAUUGGGUUUAAGGGGAGCGUAGAUGGGUUGUUAAGUCAGUGGUAAAAACACGGGGCUCAACCCCGUCCGGCCGUUGAAACUGGGGGCCGUGAGUGGGCGAGAAGAAGGCGGAAUGCGUGGUGUAGCGGUGAAAUGCAUAGAUAUCACGCAGAACCCCGAUUGCGAAGGCAGCCUUCCGGCGCCCUACUGACGCUGAGGCACGAAAGUGCGGGGAUCGAACAGGAUUAGAUACCCGGGUAGUC
rnacentral:rRNA from 1 species